CCCCAGCCCCUACCUGCUUCUUCACGCUCUCGAUCUCCGCCCGAAUCCUCUGGGUCAUGCGGUUCAGCUCUGAGAUCUCAACCUUGGUGUCCUUGAGGCUGUCCCCAUGUUUGCCAGCAGUAGCCUGCAGCUCUUCAUACUGGGAGGCAGAAGUGAGAGGAGCACAUGGGGACCCCAUGCAAGCCAAGGUGAUGGAGCCUUGAGAGAGGAGGGCAAAGAGAAGAGGAUCCUGAGGAGCACAGCUCAGGUCUCAGCCUGCUGAGAACCACCUCAACAAACCUCCACCCACGGCCCAGGCUCAGCUGAUGGAGACUUCUCCAACUCCUUUCACAUCUUCUGCCCAUGGAGACAAGGACAAAUUUGCCCUUUUUUGAGUAAGUUUUGAGCUCUACUUUUGUCACCACCCAACCAUCACCACUGCCCUCCCCCAACAUACUUGGUCUUGAAGUCUUCUACCAUGUCUUGGAAGCUCUUCAGCUCUGACUCCAGCUGGACCUUCUCACUGGAGAGACAAUCCAGCUGCUUCCUCAGCCCACUGAUGUAGCUCUCAAAUAAGGGGUCAAGGCUCCUGCCACCUGUCCCUGUGCCACCUUGCUCCUGAAGGAGCUUCCACUUGGUGUCUAGGACUCGGUUCUGCUGCUCGAGGAACCUGACCUGCAUGGCCCCAGGGGGUGGAAGCAGAGUCAGACAAUUCCCAGGUCUGGGGGGUUAUUUUUCCACAUAUUUCCCAUAAUUUCUUUUCCCCUUUCAUGCCCUUAACCUCCCUGCCCCUGAGCUCCUCCCUAGGCUGAGGAGGCAAAGGAAGGUCGGGUCCCCUCCCCAGUCUCACAGUGGCUCAGCAGGAGGCCACAUGAGCCUCACAGCUCUGGGAUCCUCUCCUCAGAAACGGACCCAAACCAACCCUGCAGACCAUGGCUGGGCAGAGGCCACCAGCAGAGACCCUUCUGAGCUUGCUCUGCUGGCUCCAUGGUCCUGUAUGAUUCCACCAAGGAUCCUAUAGGACCACAGCUCUAGGAUGAAGAGGCAGAGGAGGGUCACAUCCCCCCUCCAAUCUCAGUCUCUAAGCAGAAGCACAAUGAGAACCUCACAGCUCUGGCAUCCUCUCCUCAGAAAUGGACCCAAACCAACCCUGCAGACCAUGGCGGGGCAGAGGCCACCAGCAGAGACCCUCCUGAGCUUGCUCUGCUGGCUCCAUGGUCCCUCAGCUCAGCACCAGCAUCGUGGCCUUGAGGACCCAAGAUCCUACUCCUGCUUUCCCCCCAGGCUUGGGGAAAAU